rnacentral:rRNA from 1 species
AUUGAACGCUGGCGGCGUGCCUAACACAUGCAAGUCGAGCGGUAACAGGUGUAGCAAUACAUGCUGACGAGCGGCGAACGGGUGAGUAAUGCUUCGGAAUCUACCCAAUGGUGGGGAAUAACCAGCCGAAAGGUUGGCUAAUACCGCAUACGUCCUACGGGAGAAAGCAGGGGAUCGUAAGACCUUGCGCCGAUGGAUGAGCCGAAGCCGGAUUAGCUAGUUGGUAGGGUAACAGCCUACCAAGGCGACGAUCCGUAGCUGGUCUGAGAGGACGACCAGCCACACUGGGACUGAGACACGGCCCAGACUCCUACGGGAGGCAGCAGUGGGGAAUAUUGGACAAUGGGGGAAACCCUGAUCCAGCGACGCCGCGUGUGUGAAGAAGGCCUGCGGGUUGUAAAGCACUUUUAGUGGGGAUGAAAAGUGCAGAGCUAAUAUCUCUGCAUCUUGACCUAACCCACAGAAAAAGCACCGGCUAACUCUGUGCCAGCAGCCGCCGUAAUAC